rnacentral:lncRNA from 1 species
CUCCUAGCGGCGGGCCGGGCCGUCCCUGAGGGGAGCGCGCUGCCCGUGUCCGCUCGCGUCGCUCCGUGCGUGAGCCGGAGCCUCCUCCCUGCUGGGCCGGUGCCCGUGUCGCCCGGAAGCGAGACAGAGACAACGUGGGAGUGAAAUCGGAGGCAAGCAUGGGCAGAGCUGUGUGACCGACAGAGCAGUGCACCGUUUUAUCGAUAAUGGGCUGUUUUAUUAGGUGUCGGGUGCUUUUGGGUCCCUGAUGAAGACUGGGAAUUCUACAAGCGAAUGUCGCUGUCGGCUGUGUCACGGCCAGCUAUAGAGAUGACGCCAGUGGGGCCACUUUAACGAUCAUCAUCACUUACUCUUGAUGGAGUAGUGCCUUCUGCCUACUGCCUUAAAAGCUCUGUGGGCCAUUGCACCUUUCCUGAUUCCAGGGGUUUCCAAAUCUUGCUUGGAUUUUAUGAAGGAAUUGAUAAAAACAUUCAGCCAAGACAAGCGAUUCUUCUGUGCUAUUCUYUCUUCCACACUCCUUCCACAGGUGUCCGCCAUGUGAAUGCAGAUACUGUUGUGUUCUAUGACACUGAUUUAGAUCUGCUGAUAGAUGCAAAAGCUAAAGAAUGGUGUGAUAAGACUGUGAGAGACAGAGAUAUCCACAUAUGCAGGCAUUGA